UACGAAGGGGGCUAGCGUUGCUCGGAAUUACUGGGCGUAAAGCGCACGUAGGCGGCUUUCUAAGUCGGGGGUGAAAUCCUGGAGCUCAACUCCAGAACUGCCUUCGAUACUGGAAAGCUCGAGUCCGGGAGAGGUGAGUGGAACUGCGAGUGUAGAGGUGAAAUUCGUAGAUAUCUGGAGGAAUACCGGUGGCGAAGGCGGCAUCCUGGACCGGCAUUGACGCUGAGGAGCGAAAGCUAGGGGAGCAAACGGG
rnacentral:rRNA from 1 species